rnacentral:lncRNA from 1 species
AUACAUAUGUAACUAACCUGCACAUUGUGCACAUGUACCCUAAAACUUAAAGUAUAAUAAUAAUAAAAUAAAAUAAAAGAAUUCAUAAGGAAUUCAAAAUAAAUAAAUAAAUAACUUACAAGGAAUGCAAAAUAAAGCAUUCAAAUAUUUCCCUGUGCAAAAGUAUUUAAAUAAUAAAGAGUUUGCAAAUUUAAAUAAUUCACAUACAUAAUUAUUAUGUAUUAGCCACAUCUAGGAUUUUGGUGGAGGAACAACAUGUAAAACUUUUAUGUUGUUUUCAUAUUUCAACUGAUAAUCUUUCAAUAUCAAAUUAACAAUAAAUAAAAACAUCUACACUAAGAAGAGAAUAAAAAGGCUGGUAAAUACAAUCAUAAUAAGUGCUAUGAAAAACAUUCAGGAUCUUUUUAAUCCAAGUUGAAAAUAUCUAAUUAAUUUUUGUUUUGCAAAUCUCCCCGAAUAAUAUACCUCAUAAAUUAAAUUCUUAAUUCAUUUAUUACUAAUAUAAUCUAUUUGAAGGCAGGCUGAGAUCCUAAUAUAUUUCAACAACACAUACUUUGGCAUAUUUAAGGAUGCCGAUAGAUAUUACUAUUAGCUCAAAAUGUACAAAGACUGGCUACACUGUCUUGUUUGGAAUAAACAUUAUAUCCCUGUGUCUUUUUAAUAAAUACAUUGGGUUUUUAUUUCAUUUUGUUUGUUGGUUUAUUUGUUGUCACUGUGAUUGUCCUUGUUUUGAGAAAUUAUAUGGAAGAAACAAGGGUGGUAACAGUAAGCAAAAUUGGAGAAGGGAGAUUCAUUCGAGAAAUAUUUCAGAGAUGACAAAAUCAAAGCUGCUGAGAGUAUGUAAAUAUGUACCUAAACCUCAGAGCAGAAGAAAACCAUUAAAGAGGUACUUAGCUUAUCUCUUAGGCUAGCACUACAACAAAUGUAAAAUAUAUUAAUUUUUAAAUUUGAGUU